rnacentral:rRNA from 1 species
CCCUUAGAUGUCCUGGGCCGCACGCGCGCUACACUGACUGACUCAACGAGUUUACAACCUGUGCCGAAAGGUAUGGGUAAUCUUUUGAAAUUCAGUCGUGAUGGGGCUAGAUUAUUGCAACUAUUAAUCUUCAACGAGGAAUGCCUAGUAAGCGCGAAUCAUCAGUUCGCGUUGAUUACGUCCCUGCCCUUUGUACACACCGCCCGUCGCUCCUACCGAUUGAAUGGUCCGGUGAAAAUUUCGGACAGUGACGAUGCUGGCGGUCCGCCGCCGGCGCUGUCGCUGGAAGAUCUUUAAACCUUAUCAUUUAGAGGAAGGAGAAGUCGUAACA